rnacentral:lncRNA from 1 species
GUGCACAGCCUGACAGGGAGCUCUUUAAAUAGCUAGUUCAGGCUUGCACUGGCAGAUGCUCCUCUCUGCGGGUUGCGUCCUGAGCCCCGGUUUGAGAAUUACAUCAGCUGGCACCAGGAACUCUGAAACAGUAAUUGGAAGCCUCAUAGAGUUCUUCAAGCAAAUUACAUCAGUAGAGAGGCUUAUUUCCCUCGUUUGGAGUAAUAGCAAAAGCUGGCAACUCUGUGCACUUAGAUUUUGAGAAACUUGAGGUGAAGUUUAAUUGGCAUGAGACUCCAAAGCUUUUCAGAAAGUGGAUUAUGCAAAUGGGGCAGCCAACAAGUGCACACUAAAAGUCAGUACAUUGCAGUCUCUUGGGGACUCUUGAAUGGAAAGAAGCAUAAAAAGAAGUAGUGGUGUAAACAGGCUUCCAGUUCAGGGAGGGUCCAAGGUGAGACACUUCCACAUGGAAAUGUGGAGGCACACAUAGAAGGGGUUCCACGUGGUAGGAAUUCAAGUGAAUAGGACCUUGAGAAGUGCUCACAAAUGGGCUCCAGCUUUCCCUCUCACAGACAGUCAUCUACUGCUCCCUCCUGUUCAGCCGUCCAUCCAAUAAUCAUGGAACUGGUGCAGUUUGAAAUCCACACCUGCAGGUUACAUGUGAAGGUUGCUGGCUUUAUUGUUUUAAUUGAAGCCUGCCAGUAGACACCUUGAAGAAUGGUAAAAAUUAUCUGGGCACAGGGAGACUCACACAGUUCGUCUCUGUGGCUAUCAAGGCGGGAGGGGAAUCUGGGUUAUUCUAUGCUUGUUUUUAGUGGACAGCAAAAAAGCAAUUUGAAUCUUCAUGUUGGAAAGUAGUGGCUUCUAUUCUGAAGGGAGAUUUUAAUAUCGAAGAAUGUCUAAGCUUCACUGAGGUCAGUACUGAAGGAGUUCAGCAAGAGGAAACCUCUGAUGGUUCAGAGUGUGGGAGAGUAAAAGCCAGGGUUGCCCCGGGGGUAAUGCAGGGUAUGGUAUGUGUCCACUUAAGUCUGAGUAAGUGUUUGUGACAGGCCAGUACAAGAUAUUUGAUUCCCUGUGGUCCUGCCCCUUAAUCCAAUCUCU